CCUGGCCUGCCACGGCCCAUUCUCACAGGGAGUGGGGCAGUCCACCCCACUACAGGGUAUUAAAAGCCAGGGCAAGCUAAGCCUCCCCUGACCAAGGCUGUGGUCCCGCCUACGUUCCCUCAGGUGACCUCUCCCUCCCUUCCCCUCUACUCUGAAGCCGGUGGCUCUGCUGGGUCCUGGUGCUUGGCGGGGGGCAACUGGCACAGCUGAGGUCCCCAGGGCUCCUAGGACUUCUGUGAGGUCUGAGGCAGUGGGGAGAUUCCGAGUACUGCAGAGCUCUCAGGAUGCUGAACCAUGUAUCCUUCAUGCUCUUGCUGCUAAGCUAAGUUAGCCAACCAGGCAGAAUGCUAACUACUACAAUCUUCCUUGUUGGACAUUGACGUAUAAUUAAACCAGGCACUUUCCAAUCACUGAGUGAAGCUAUGAUGGAAGGAAAUGCCCAGUAUGAAGGACUGAUAUUGCACAGCUGUAUCUUUCUCUUCUUUAAUUGAUGGACAUCUUUGUUUAUGUACCAGCAACAGGAAGUGUUUUCAUUUUGUUUUGUUUUUUUGCUACAGUCAGUAUUUGAGGAUCAGCUCUGGCUUCAGAAAAAUUAAACUGUCUUCAGCUUGGUGCACAAGUAAUGCAGCUACCGAUGAGAGCCAGGCAAUGGAGAACACAUUCAAGAGCCACUCCUUUCUGCUGUGGUGAAGAUUCCCCAGAAGGAAGAUUAAGAUUUGCCGUAUUCAAGAGGCCCAUGGAUCUGGAACAUUCAUAGAGGCCGCAGCAGAGGUUAAUUUUUGGUUGAAGAGAGAAGUGGUCAUAUAAGUACCAUUUAUGAGAUGAAUACCACAGCGACAGAGAUCAAACGUCCUGAAGACAAUGAAAGCCCCCUUUGGCAUAUCGCUGGGCUGAUGGAAGUGGGACCCCAACCGCUACUCAGAAAACUAUUGAAGAAACAAAAAGCAAGAGCAUUUAAGUAGCAUGGCCUAUAUGUACAGCUUGGUGGGGGUUUGUUCAUUCAACUCCACAGUUCAUUUCUUAGCCAAUAAGACAAAUCAUCACAGACAGCUUGUUCUA